UACGUAGGGUGCAAGCGUUUAAUCGGAAUUACUGGGCGUAAAGCGUGCGCAGGCGGUUUUGUAAGUCUGUCGUGAAAUCCCCGGGCUCAACCUGGGGAAUUGCGAUGGAGACUGCAAGGCUAGAAUCUGGCAGAGGGGGGUAGAAUUCCACGUGUGAGCAGUGAAAUGCGUAGAGAUGUGGAGGAACACCGAUGGCGAAGGCAGCCCCCUGGGUCAAGGAUUGACGCUCAUGGCACGAAAGCGUGGGGAGCAAACAGG
rnacentral:rRNA from 1 species